rnacentral:rRNA from 1 species
CAGGCCUAACACAUGCAAGUCGAACGAGGUUUAUUUCCGGAAGGUUUCGGCUGGAAGGGGAUAAACCGAGUGGCGGACGGGUGAGUAACGCGUGAGCAACCUGUCUUCUACAGGGGGAUAACGGUCCGAAAGGAUUGCUAAUACCGCAUAAGACCACGAACCGGCAUCGGUACGGGGUCAAAGGAGAGAUCCGGUAGAAGGUGGGCUCGCGUCCCAUUAGAUAGUUGGUGAGGUAACGGCUCACCAAGUCGACGAUGGGUAGCCGACCUGAGAGGGUGAUCGGCCACAUUGGAACUGAGAUACGGUCCAGACUCCUACGGGAGGCAGCAGUGGGGAAUCUUCCGCAAUGGGCGAAAGCCUGACGGAGCAACGCCGCGUGGGUGAGGAAGUUCUUCGGAACGUAAAGCCCUGUUGUACAUGACGAACGUGUAUCCUAUCAACAACGGGAUGCAAUGACGGUAGUGUACGAGGAAGCCACGGCUAACUACGUGCCAGCAGCCGCGGUAAUACGUAGGUGGCAAGCGUUGUCCGGAAUUAUUGGGCGUAAAGCGCAUGUAGGCGGUGCCUUAAGUCUGUCGUGAAACUGCGGGGCCUAACCCCGUAUGGCGAUGGAAACUGUGGCACUUGAGUGCAGGAGAGGAAAGGGGAACUCCCAGUGUAGCGGUGAAAUGCGUAGAUAUUGGGAAGAACACCGGUGGCGAAGGCGCCUUUCUGGACUGUGUCUGACGCUGAGAUGCGAAAGCCAGGGUAGCGAACGGGAUAGAUACCCCGGUAGUCCUGGCCGUAAACGAUGGGUACUAGGUGUGGGAGGUAUCGACCCCUUCCGUGCCGGAGUUAACGCAAUAAGUACCCCGCCUGGGGAGUACGGCCGCAAGGCUUAAACUCAAAGGAAUUGACGGGGGCCCGCACAAGCGGUGGAGUAUGUGGUUUAAUUCGACGCAACGCGAAGAACCUUACCAGGGCUUGACAUCGAUUGCAAGGUGUAGAGAUACACCCCUCUCUUCGGAGACAAGAAGACAGGUGGUGCAUGGCUGUCGUCAGCUCGUGUCGUGAGAUGUUGGGUUAAGUCCCGCAACGAGCGCAACCCCUAUCCCAUGUUACCAUCAUUAAGUUGGGGACUCAUGGGAGACUGCCAGGGACAACCUGGAGGAAGGCGGGGAUGACGUCAAGUCAUCAUGCCCCUUAUGUCCUGGGCUACACACGUACUACAAUGGCCGGCAACAGAGGGAAGCGAAGCCGCGAGGCGGAGCGAACCCCAUAAACCCGGUCCCAGUUCGGAUCGCAGGCUGCAACCCGCCUGCGUGAAGUCGGAAUCGCUAGUAAUCGCAGGUCAGCAUACUGCGGUGAAUACGUUCCCGG